rnacentral:rRNA from 1 species
ACGUAGGGUGCAAGCGUUAAUCGGAAUUACUGGGCGUAAAGCGCACGUAGGCGGCUUUGUAAGUUAGAGGUGAAAGCCCGGGGCUCAACUCCGGAACUGCCUUUAAGACUGCAUCGCUUGAACGAUGGAGAGGUAAGUGGAAUUCCGAGUGUAGAGGUGAAAUUCGUAGAUAUUCGGAAGAACACCAGUGGCGAAGGCGACUUACUGGACAUCUGUUGACGCUGAGGUGCGAAAGCGUGGGGAGCAAACAGGA